GGACGGGGCCCGCACAAGCGGUGGAGCAUGUGGUUUAAUUCGAAGCAACGCGCAGAACCCUUACCAGCUCUUGACAUCUGGGUCGCGGACAGUGGAGACAUUGUCCUUCAGUUCGGCUGGACCCAAGACAGGUGCUGCAUGGCUGUCGUCAGCUCGUGUCGUGAGAUGGUUGGGUUAAGUCCCGCAACGAGCGCAACCCUCGCCCUUAGUUGCCAGCAUUUAGGUUGGGCACUCGUAAGGGGACUGCCGGUGAUAAGCCGAGAGGAAGGUGGGGAUGACGUCAAGUCCUCAUGGCCCUUACGGGCUGGGCUACACACGUGCUACAAUGGUGGUGACAGUGGGCAGCGAGACCGCGAGGUCGAGCUAAUCCCAUAAAACCGAUCGUAGUCCGGAUCGCAGUCUGCAACUCGACUGCGUGAAGUCGGAAUCGCUAGUAAUCGUGAAUCAGAAUGUCACGGUGAAUACGUUCCCGGGCCUU
rnacentral:rRNA from 1 species